rnacentral:rRNA from 1 species
GAUGAACGCUGGCGGCGUGCCUAAUACAUGCAAGUCGAGCGAACAGACGAGGAGCUUGCGCCUCUGACGAGAGGGGCGGACGGGAGAGUAACACGUGGAUAACCUACCUAUAAGACGGGGAUAACUUCGGGAAACCGGAGAUAACACCGGAUAAUAUAUUGAAGCACAGGGGGCAAUAGAGAAAGACGGUUGUGGUGGCACGUAUAGAGGGAUCCGCGCCGCAUGAGCUAGGUGGGAAGGUAACGGGUUACCAAGGGAACGAUGCGUAGCCGACCUGUGGGGGUGGUCGCCCCCCUGGGAACUUGACCACCGUCCCGGGUCCUGCGGGAGGCCGCAGUCUGGAAUCUUCCGCAAAGGGGGGAAACCUUGCGGAGCGACGCCGCGUGAGUGAUGACGGUCUUCGGAUCGUGAAACUCUGUUUUUAGUGAAAAACAAAUUUGUAAUUAACUAUGCCCGUCUUGACGGUACCUAAUCAGAAAGCCCCGGCUAACUACGUG